CCUACGGGAGGCAGCAGUGGGGAAUAUUGCACAAUGGGGGGAACCCUGAUGCAGCAACGCCGCGUGGGUGAAGAAGUACUUCGGUAUGUAAAGCCCUGUCAGCAGGGAAGAAAAUGACGGUACCUGACCAAGAAGCCCCGGCUAACUACGUGCCAGCAGCCGCGGUAAUACGUAGGGGGCAAGCGUUAUCCGGAUUUACUGGGUGUAAAGGGAGCGUAGACGGCAAGGCAAGUCUGGAGUGAAAGCCCGUGGCUCAACCACGGGACUGCUUUGGAAACUGUGUUGCUGGAGUGCAGGAGGGGUAAGCGGAAUUCCUAGUGUAGCGGUGAAAUGCGGAGAGAUUAGGAGGAACACCGAUUGCGAAGGCAGCAUACCGGCGCCCGACUGACGCUGAGGCACGAAAGCGUGGGGAUCGAACAGGAUUAGAUACCCGUGUAGUC
rnacentral:rRNA from 1 species